UAUUUUCUACUGUGGGAAUGUGUGGGGCCAGGGCUUAAUAGGGAGGAUGGUUAUUAUUUUACCUUACCAUUUUUUGUCAUUUUAAAUAUCUGCUUAAGAAAACAUGGCUAAUGUUAUCCUCGUGGCUGCAGUGUCUGGGGGCUUUCUUAUCCUGUUUACCUGGUUUGCUGGAGUUAGUGUAGAAGACACAAAAUCUGAAGGGAAGAGUCACUGCAAAUGUUUGAUGGGGAAGGGCCAUGUGUGGGCCAUGUGUUUCUAAAUGAGCUGGCUGCCAUGGUUAUUAAUGCAUUUCCCCCUUGUCUCUUUGGUUUUGCUAUCACAUAUGGGACCAUCUGGUUCCUCUGUGGGACUCCCAAGACUUUCUGGCAAGCACAUGCGUGAAGAUGUCUAGGGUUUUUCCUCUUCAAGCCUUUCUACUACAUCUUAUUUCUAGAAACCCUGCUUAAAAAAGUUUUUGUGGGCAGUCUCUACCUGUAACACAAACCUUCUCACUGUCACCAGUGCUGACACUGCAGCACAACGUUGAGAAAAGUCCUGCUUCAACUACAAGUCUGGUGUCACAUGAAGAAAGCAAAUGCACUUUGCAUGGUGCUUCAGGAGUUGUGACAGGUGGUGUGAGACAGAUGCUUGAGGUCCCCUCAGCCUCUGAGGUGAGCAUGUGGCAUGGCAGAAAGAAAUCUAAACUAUGUUUAAAGCACAAAUUCAUCCCCCUCAGGUCCUGAGAGGUUACAAGCCCUUGAAUUGUCCUGAAUGUUAUUUUUUUUCCUGUGUCAUAUCAGACAAGAACCUGUUUAUGGAGAUGUUGGGCUUUCUCAGAAGAUAAAUGUGACCUAUAGAAUCACAUUUAUCACAGUUUCUCUUGUAAGAAAUAUAGCCUGCUUUCAGGGUAGUUGGAUGGAUUACAGAAGUGCAAAACUGGAACAAUUCAGCAAUCAGAACUUGUUGUGAAGAAGAUCAAGUAACGACUAAAACCAGAAUAAAUUUGCUUUAGAAGGAAAGAUUAAUCAUCAUGCAAGAGAACGAUUGCUUCAAAUAAAAACACUUGAAAAAUGAAGAUAUUUCAUUCAGUGGGGAAACUGUGCAGUGUCUUGAAGGUACUAUUGCUGCUAUUAAGAAAUUGGAAGAAAUUCGAAGACAUACCCUUGAAUGCCUAGAAGAGGAGACUAUAAAAAACAGCAAUCUUUGCUUCAGAAUACAGAAUUUUUCAGGAGAGAAUAUUGAAGAGAUGACAGCUCUUGUCACUGCUGCAUGUGCAUCUAGUGCUGCUAGGAUACAUCAGCUGCUGUCUGCAUUGGAAAGCAUUGCUUAUAAAAUUGAAUUACUGACUGAGAAGCAAGCCCUUUGUGAAAGACAGAAUGCUGAACUGUGUAAGGAGCAAGAAUAUUUGCAGACACAGCAUAAAGAAAGAGUAGACUUGCUGAAUGAAAGGAUGGCAACAAAAGUUAACACAAAUGCUCUCUUAACUGAAACUUGUGAUAAAACAAGAGUGAAAGAAAAAGAAAUAAUCAGUACAAAGGCAGCAUUAGCAGGACUUAAAGAAAAAAUAGCUGAAAAAAUGAGUAAACUUGAAAAAGAGAAAGAAGAAUAUGAUAAAGAGAAUACAGAAAUGAAAAAAUUCCUUGAAUCUCAGGAGGCAAAAACAUCCCAGAAAAAGCAUGAAUUUGAGAACUUGAAUGUAAAAUCUUCAGAUCUGCAGCAUUUGAUAAGUCUGAAUUCAACAGUUCUACUUGAUGAAGAAAUUGCCUUAGAAAAACUGAGAGAAGAAAGCAAGCAAGUUGAAAAAAAGCUUGGAAUUUAGAAAAAACAGAUAUGCUGGCACUCUUAGAACAGAAGAUUCAGCUUGAAUCUGAAUUAUUGCUUUUACAAUCAAAAAUUGCCCAAGAAAAGGAGCAUUUCAAUAAGGAACUUGUAAAAACUAAGGAAGAUCUAUGCAAUGCUAAAUACCUGAAUAAAAAACUGAAAUUAGAAACUGAAGCUCUGCGCCAAAAUUAUGAACAAGUACUGGAAAAACAGCAGCUCUGGACUAUAGAAAGAGAUGAGGUAGUGGCAAAAUGGGAGGAAUUCUCUUUUUUAUUGAAGAAAAAGUUUAGAUCACUGGAAAAUCUUGCGACGAAAAAGAAACACCUAGAGAAAAUAAUUAAAAAUCUCGAAGACAACCUACUAAAUAUAAAGAAGAGCUAUGCAGAACAGCUGGCAUCUCUAGAGCAAGAUUUGAAGGCAGAAAAUAAGGCAAAACGAGAAAGUUUGCACUAUAUCUUCAAAACAAAGCAGUGAAUUAAUUAAUUACUGCAUCUUGAUGUUGCUAUUACAUCAGAGAUAUAAAACCAAAGCCUUACUGUGUAAAUAUUCAGUGAUAUAAUGACAAAUAAAAGCAUAUCUCCUCAAGUAUAUCCAUGGUUUCAUUUGAAUUUUAUUGCUUUAUUGCCAAGUGGUAAGGGCCACUCUAGUUACCAUGUAAGUGGCUUUUAAUCAUUAUGACAGCAAAUGUUUGACCUGUUUUAUUUUAUAAGCUAUUUGGGAUUUUCCCAGGAUAUGUACGCUUACAUAAACUGUAAAACUGUGGGGUUUGGGGGAUUGUUUGGUUUGGUUUGGCAUGGUUUUUUUUCCAAUCAUUUAUUCACUAUUUAUUGUUAUUAUUAAAUUCAGUUGAUGUUCAUUGGUA